AUUGAACGCUGGCGGCAGGCCUAACACAUGCAAGUCGAACGAGUGGCGGACGGGUGAGUAAUGUCUGGGAAACUGCCCGAUGGAGGGGGAUAAUUACUGGAAACGGUAGCUAAUACCGCAUACCAUCAGAUGUGCCCAGAUGUGAUUAGCUAUUGGGUGGGGUAACGGCUCACCAAGGCGACGAUCCCUAGCUGGUCUGAGAGGAUGACCAGCCACACGGGAACUGAGACACGGUCCAGACUCCUACGGGAGGCAGCAGUGGGGAAUAUUGCACAAUGGGCGAAAGCCUGAUGGAGCCAUGCCGCGUGUAUGAAGAAGGCCUUCGGGUUGUAAAGUACUUUCAGCGGGGAGGCGGUACCCGCAGAAGAAGCACCGGCUAACUCCGUGCCAGCAGCCGCGGUAAUAC
rnacentral:rRNA from 1 species